ACUCCCGAAGAGAACUCGUCGAGGGAAGAAGUCGGAGCAGGUCGGUCGUGGCCGCCGCGCCUGAACGGCGCAACUACAUUCUUUUGAAAAGUACUUGAAGAGUUAUAAUUGCUUAAUCUUCGGAGUUUUCUGGGAGUUAUACCCAAAAUUUCCAGGAGCUGAAUGGAAUCCUGAUGGUUCAAAUUAAGCAUCAAUGAUACGACUUAUAGAUUUUUCUUUACCUUAUAUCUUAAUGAAUUUUAUGAAUUUUUAUCCUUGUUUUACAGUCCAAACAUCUUAAAAAUGCCAUCUUGUGGGCCAGCUAGCAAAAAAAAAGCAUGAAGAUUUCUUAAUGCAAUACAUAUAGUCUUUGGUGAUAUACCUGAAGUUCCCAAAAGUUCUUUGGAUGUCACAAGCAAGAAAAAUACAUGCUUAUGCUCAGACCUGAAAAUAUAAUUUGCACAAAACCUUGGAGCACAAAGCCUGCACUAACUGGUUCAUAAUAAAGCAAGCAACUAGAAGAAGCUUUUUGUUUGAUAAAAGUCUCACAGACUCAUAAAUUAUGUGAAAUACAUAUAAGAAACAAUCAUUUCAGUGUUUUAGUGAGUCAUGAAGGAAUCCAAAUGUUUAUUGUUAUCCUAACUGCAGCAUCUUCUCCAUCAUUGUUAAAUUCACAAAAGAUUAUACACCAUACAGAUGAUUCUCAUCCAUUUUGUGUAUUGAGACUAAAAUGUAGAGGAAAUUUAACCAAUACCUAGUUAGAAAGGUAAAUGUCUUUUCCCUAAUCAUUUAAUGCUGAAUCCUUCAUAAUUUCUGCAGUUAAAAAGAAAGAUUCGUGGAAUUAUUGGCUAGAGCAUAUGAACAAGUUAAGUAUAAUCAUUUACUAUAUUAUUGGGAUUUCUAGAUCCAGCGUAUCUAAGAACUCAUAAUACUUGGCAAUACAAUACUUUUUAAAUAUUUGGUUGGCAUAAAAUAUUUUAAAAAUAGAAUUGUAAGUAUCCUUAGAACAUCACAGAGAGAAAGCAAUGACAAGUAAUAUUGGUAUCAGUUACUUCUGUUGUAAGAAGCCGAUAGAGUCAUUAGGAUGCUAUUUUUUAAAAUUACCAUACUUUUCAGAGUACAAGAUGCACUUCUCCCCCCCUAAAAGAAGGUGGAAAUGUUGGUGCAUUUUAUACACGAAAUACAACCACGUUUUGGGCUCUCAAAAUCCCACCCUACGUGUCCCAUUUUUGCAAAAAAGUGAGCCCUUUUUUGCAAAAACGGGGCACACAGAGGAUUUGGGAAGCCUGCAGAAUGCUCCUGGGGGCUGGGGAGUGCAAAAACGUGAUGCGUGGGGGGGUUGGGAGAUCAAAAAUGGGCCUGUUUUUCGCAAAAACGGGCAUUUUUGCCCUCCCCAGCUCUCAGGAGCACUUUGCACGCUUCCUAAACCCUCUGCAGGCCCUGGUUUUGCAAAAAAAAAAAUGGACCCAUUUUUGGCCUCCCAACCCCCCCAUGAAUCCCAUUUUUGCCCUCUCCAGCCCCCAGGAGCACUCUGCAGGCCUUCCAAACCCUUUGCAGACCCCGUUUUUGCAAAAAAAAUUGUUCACUUUUCACAAAAAUGGGAUGCACAGGGGGUUUGGGUCAUGCAGAGUACUCCUGGGGGCCGGGGAAGGCAAAAACUUUUUUUUUCUUGGUUACCUCUUAGAAAUCUUGGUGCAUCUUAUAGUCCGAAAAAUAUGGUACCUCUUUAUUACCAUUGGAGAGAAUGAAAUCCCAUUGUCCCCUCUUCUGCUAUUCCUUAAAACAUAAGAGCAAUCAAAAUAUAUUUCAACUACUAAAACUAAGCUAACAACAAGGGUAGCCAUUGUGGAUGCUAUUAUUAUGUUAAAUAGAAUAUUAAAAAAGAAAUUAAUAAUCUUUAUAAAUAGUUUUCGAUAUAUAAAAACAUACAGGUCCUUUGCAUCACUCCAGUUUACUUUAUAGGAUUUAUAGUAAAUGCCCUGAAAGUUAAUUCUUAUUUCUUUUAAAGCACAAAUAUUUAUUUACCCAAACAGUUUGCCUUUCCAAAUUGAUUCCUACAGUAUAUAUUGUCCCAAAGUGAAUUAUGAGAUAUGCUCAUAUAAUUACUCCAUCAUAAAUAUUGUAGCUAAAAAGAUAUGUGUUAUACUUUAUUGCAGACAUAAUAUCACUUCUUGAACCAAAAGGCAGCUGUACAUAAAGCUGAUGUGACAUGUGGCGCCCUCACUUAUACCUAUGUGCAAAUAUUAUGACCAGAGUUCCACACAUUUUGCAUUCUUUCUUUAAUCAAGCAAAACUUGCUGCCAGAUGGAAGCAAGGUGGACUGUGAUAAAAAGAAGCAGAUGUGAACAAUCUCCUUAAGUUUAAACCUAAAUUAGAUAACCCUUAAAAUUUCUCCAGACUGCUGAAUAUUAAUUACAAAUUUCAGUGGGAGGGCAAGCCCGGAAAGAAAUAGUCCAGAUUGUUUAGCAAUGUGAUCUGCAUGGAUAAUUAAAUGUCUGAAUACAAAAAGAACAUAGUCAGAAGUAGCCAAAUGUCAAUACCACUCUCCCUCUUCCCUACUUUCAGGUGAAGUUCCUGAAAAUUAUUGAAAUUCCUGAGUAAAUGUUUGUACUUAUAUCACUCUUAAAAUAACUGUUUCAUCAUUCCUUGCAAAUGUGUAUGUUCUGCUAAACAGAGGUAAUAUUUGAAAGCCCAAAUAACAUUGAUAGAGAGUACAGCUUUAUCUAGGUUUGUGUGUCUGCUGAUACUGGCAUUUUGGAAAACUAGAUCCAAUAAGUCUAGAGUAGGAAAUCUGAAUCCACAUAAUGAUGUGUCGAAUCUUUUGUCUUACCUUCUCCUUUUCCAUCUAUGAGAUUUAUUUAGAGCUCUAUUCUUUAGGUAUGUAAAAUAAUCCAACCCUCCCCCCCCAAAAAAUACUUAAACGUAUAUUAAUCCUAGCCAGCAUGAUAAAUAAUUUAGGGUGACAAAAGUUAUAUUCCAACAGCACCUGAAUUGAUUUCACAAUUCUUUCAGAUAUGUAAACUAGGACAGUUCAGUUACUAUAUACCUAACCCUACUGUACUUGAGUUGCCAAGAUAUGGAUCACAAUAAAAUGGCAGGAAAAUAUUUUUUUUCAAUAUCCCUUUGCUUAUCAUUGGUGAUCAUCUGGAUAUUUACACCCAGAUCUGUAUGAAAUCACAUAAUAUUUAUUUGGAAAUGCAUCUAAUUUGCCUUCAUACUUCAGAAAUCUUUGUUUUUAUAUUAUAAAUACCAGUAGUAGCUGUGCCAAGCACAUAAAAAGUUUGGAUUUGCUUUUACUAAAUAGGAGUUUAUCUUUAUCUACUAAAUAGAGAUGAGUUGGUGCUCCAGUUCUGAACCUUCUGGGCUGUGGCACCUGUUUAUGAGGCAACUCUGGAGAAGGGAGGGGGCCUUCAGUAAUGCUGCAGCAAGAGUUGCUCACCUUUCUUUCUAAGGUGAAGUUAGCUUGCUCUCCUGUAGUGCGCUUGAGAAGCACAGGAGCAGAGCUGCUAAAUUGGCAGCCAAACUACUACUCAGCAAUAAUAUUGUGGUCUCCUGGCUAAUGUAACAAUGCCAUAAACUAAUAAUGAUAUACUACCUAACUCCUUUUGGAAUGAGCAACACAUGCAUGUACAUACAUAUACAUAUGUAUAUCAAACAAGCAAGCAGCUGGGGUGAUUUCCUGUACCAUGUCUGAUGAAUGUAUACACCUUUUUUUCAAGUAUGUAGGUGAUGAGGUUGAUAUCCAAAAUUGCAUUACAGAAUGCUUGAGGAAACUCAAUCUGACUGUAGAAGUAAUUUUUGUGAACUAUCCUGUCAUGAAAAGUUAAAUAUUGUAAUAAAUAAUGUAAAAUAAAGAUACAAGAUAUUAUAAUGUGUUA